ACGCUGGCGGCAGGCUUAACACAUGCAAGUCGAACGGUAGCAGGAGGAAGCUUGCUUUCUUGCUGACGAGUGGCGGACGGGUGAGUAAUGCUUGGGAAUCUGGCUUAUGGAGGGGGAUAACUACGGGAAACUGUAGCUAAUACCGCGUAAUAUCGAAAGAUUAAAGUGUGGGACCUUCGGGCCACAUGCCAUAAGAUGAGCCCAAGUGGGAUUAGGUAGUUGGUGGGGUAAAGGCCUACCAAGCCGACGAUCUCUAGCUGGUCUGAGAGGAUGACCAGCCACACUGGAACUGAGACACGGUCCAGACUCCUACGGGAGGCAGCAGUGGGGAAUAUUGCGCAAUGGGGGGAACCCUGACGCAGCCAUGCCGCGUGAAUGAAGAAGGCCUUCGGGUUGUAAAGUUCUUUCGGUAUUGAGGAAGGGAUGUGUGCUAAUAGUACACGUCAUUGACGUUAAAUACAGAAGAAGCACCGGCUAACUCCGUGCCAGCAGCCGCGGUAAUACGGAGGGUGCGAGCGUUAAUCGGAAUAACUGGGCGUAAAGGGCACGCAGGCGGUUAUUUAAGUGAGGUGUGAAAGCCCCGGGCUUAACCUGGGAAUUGCAUUUCAGACUGGGUAACUAGAGUACUUUAGGGAGGGGUAGAAUUCCACGUGUAGCGGUGAAAUGCGUAGAGAUGUGGAGGAAUACCGAAGGCGAAGGCAGCCCCUUGGGAAUGUACUGACGCUCAUGUGCGAAAGCGUGGGGAGCAAACAGGAUUAGAUACCCUGGUAGUCCACGCUGUAAACGCUGUCGAUUUGGGGGAUUGGGCUUUAAGCUUGGUGCCCGUAGCUAACGUGAUAAAUCGACCGCCUGGGGAGUACGGCCGCAAGGUUAAAACUCAAAUGAAUUGACGGGGGCCCGCACAAGCGGUGGAGCAUGUGGUUUAAUUCGAUGCAAC
rnacentral:rRNA from 1 species